UGCUAACGUCGAACUCCGCUUUACUCGUCGCUAUAGCGCCGCUGACAGAGAUGAUGGUACAUUUUUUAUGAUCAUUUGGUUUGCCAGCUAUGACGGUAACCAUCGGAAGAGCCUGAAGGAAAAAAUUUGGAAAAGAACCAAGGAACUGGGGGACGAGAAAGCAGACGACAAAAGGGAUGGUCGUUAAGGCAGAAAUCUUUUGGCAAGUCUGUAAUAAAGAGAAGAAAAAAGUCAAGAAGAUUUCGUAACGAGCGAAAUCGACACUUUGACCUUGGCAAGGUCGUUCGAAUGGCUGAAAAGUUGAACGAUUGUGUUGGAACGAUUUGUUGUGAAUAUCGCAUCGAGUUUUCGAUUGGAGCUGUAUAAAUGAGUUUAAGCAAGGCUCGUCGCGACGUCUCAUUCCACACUGGACUCGAUAAACGCACGGAGCCCCGAGCCUAAUGAACGCUGAUUGAGUCAAAAAGGCGAUUAAACUUCGUAUCGCUCUACCACAAAGAAGCUACUGCCAACUACUACUAACAUAAGCAUCGAGGCAAAACAGUCUGCAAUCAUCUUUAAAUGGACUUCGCCACGGAAUCAAGUUCUGUAAAUAUUAACCGAUUUCCAUCAACUAAAAUCGAAAUAAAUUUCAAAAUUAAAGUACCGCUCCAUGUCUCAAAAUCAAUUAGAAUUGCCGAAAUUAAUUCAUUAAAUUCUUUGAGAGUUUAUGCUCGAAAUUAUAAACCCAAUUUUCUUCAUUCAAGAAACGCAAGCUUAAUAAAUAAAUAGUAAAAUUACUACGCUACGACGUUAAUUCAAAUAUUUGUCAAAAUAUCUCGAUUACCAAAAGGAUUAAUAUUACUGGAAGGUAUUUUACGACUUUGACGGUAAAACUCAAUCAUGCUGAAUAUUGAGGGAACUAUUUCACGUUCUAAUGAGCAUUCAGUUCAUUAUUUUUAUAUUAAAUGUACGUUUUUAUUUUAGGUUCUUCUGUUUCUUUUUUUCAUCCAAUAUUUAUGUAAGUAACAAUGAAAAUGUCUUAUGAACUAUCCAUAAGGACUACAAUAAUAUCUAUAUAUUAAUAAUAAUAAUAAUAAUAAUAAUAAUAAAA